rnacentral:lncRNA from 1 species
UUUUAAAAUAGUAUGUAAUUACUAUUUUUAAUAAUAGUAUGUAAUUACUAUUUUUAAUAGGGCAACAUCAGAAUAACCUCAUGGUCUUUACAAGAUGAAGCAUCAUUUAAAAUAGGUCCAGAACACACAGGUUUAAAUUCUGCUAGGGUCACUAGUUGUAUAACCUUAAAUACAUUACUCAAACUUCCUGAGCUUUGCUUUAUCUGUAAAAUGGGGAUAUGGAAGAGGCAGUUAUGAUGAUUAAAUGAGAGGACUCCUGCAUUUUCCCAACAACUCUCCUAAAACUCUAAAAUGUCAAUUGCUUCUAAAGAUCCCUCUCCCCUCAAAAGCCAGGAAUGUAUCUGAAACAAAAGGCUACAGAAAUAUUGAAAAUUGAAGUGUAAAUGUCACCUCCUCUGAGAAGCCUUCCCUUUCCAUUUUGUCUAAGUAAGAACCUAGUUUUGAGGAAAAGCCCUAUAUAUUCACUUUAAUUUUUUUUUUUUUUUUUGAGACAGAGUCUUACUCUGACACUCAGGCUGGAUGGUAGUGGUACGAUCUCAGCUUGCUGCAAUCUCCGUCUCCCGGGUUCGAGCGAUUCUCCUGCCUCAGCCUCCCGAAUAGUUGGGAUUACAGGUGUCCGCCACCACGCCAGGUGGCUGUCUUGGGUCUCAGUCUACCUGGAGCAUGGGCUGACAUCAUCUCCACAAUGGCUGGGUUGUUCACUAGCCACCUUGAGAUAAUCUCUGGAAUUUUGCAGCUGGGUCUCCAGGCUUGGUCUGCCCAUCUCAAGAUUAGCCCCUGGAACUUCUAAGAAGGCACAUAAUUAGAUACUAGCGUACCGUUAGACAAAUGUGGAGGGAGUGUAUGCGCUUCUUGUGAGACUGGUUACAAUGAUUCAGUUCAACAGAGCCUGAUUCUCUCUAAGAGAACUGAGAAAAAUUUGUGAACCUAAAGAUCUGAGUCCAAAUCUGAGACCCAAAAACCCAUGAACCCUGAGAUCUUCUUCUACCCCUAAAGCCUGAUUUGCAGUCCAAGCGAGUGGGCAAACACACACUCUCUGGCCAAUUCUUCAUUAUCUGCAUGUGGGUCAUUUGUAACCAUUUAUUUUCAAUUAUAAGACUAGUUGAAAAGGCCGGCCUCUUGAGUUCAAGAGAUAUGAGUUCAAAUCUUGGCUAUGCAGCUUCCUAGCUGUGUGAUCUUGGACAAGUUACUUCACCUUUCUGUGCUUCACUUUCCUGAUCUAUAAGGAGUCAAUAAGAAAACCCACUUGACAUGGAAUUAAAAAUAUAUAAAGUAACUAGCAUAAAUAAAUAAUAGUGGCCAGGCAUGGUGGCCCACAUCUGUAAACCCACCACUUUGCAAGGCUGAGGCAGGAGAAUCACUUAAGCCCAGGAGUUCAAGACCAGCCUGGGCAACAUAGUGAAACUCCAUCUCUACAAAAAAUAAAAGAUUAGCCAGGCGUGUUGACACAUCCCUGUAGUCCCAGCUACUCCGGAGGCUGAGCUAGGAGGAUCACUGUAGCCCAGGAGUUCAAGGCUGCAGUGAGCCAUGAUCGCGCCACUGCACUCCAGAACCUGGGCAAAAGAGCACUCCCCUGUCUCAAAAAAAAAAGUGGACUAGGGCUCUGUCCAAAGACAGAUAGAAAAAGGGUUCCAGGAGGAGGAAAGUGUAGGAGGAACAGUGUGGUGAUAAAAAGAAGCCUGAUAGGCCUUUCUGUGACAGGUCUUAAAGGCCAUUUUCAACUCAAAUAGUCUGAUUACAAAAGCAGCCACGAAUGCUUCCUGCUCCCAGCAUCCACGCCCUUAGGCAAUCCUGUCUCACUCUGGACUUGGUCAUGCAACUGGCUGUGACCAGCGGGAUGGGUGGUAGCAAAUGUGAUUCAGGUAGAGGCAUUCAAAGGGCUUGCACAUCUGGGCUGACCCCAAGGAUGUGCAGUCAUCCCUCUGUAUCCAUGGGGGAUUGGUUCCAGGACCUCCCAAAAUCAGUGGACACUCUAGUCUCUUAUAUAAAAUGCUGCAGUGUUUCCAUAUAACCUAUGCGCAUCCUUUUGUAUCCUUCAAAUCAUUUCUAGAUUACUUAUGUUACUUAAUACAAUGUAAAUGCUGUGUAGAUAGUUGUUAUACUAAAUUAUGACAAGAAAUAAUGACAAGAGAAAAAUCUAUAUGGGUUCAGUACAGUCUCAAUUUUUUCCUGAGUAUUUUCUAUCUGCAGUUGGUUAAAACCAGAGAUGCGGAGCGCAUGGAUACGGAGGGCUGACUGCGCUUGGAACAUUUCUGUCACCAUGUGAACAAGCCUACUCUAGCCAGGUGGAUGCUGUGAAACACGUGGCCCAGUCCUCUCCAACAUCCCAGUCAACAGCCGGCACUGCCAGAGACAUGGCAAUCCAGCUCUCUGCAGCUGCCUAUAGAUUCACACGCAAGCCCAGUCAAGACCAAUAGAAUGGCCCAGUUGAGCCCUGUUCAAACUGUAACCCAUAGAACUGUGACCAAAAUAAAUGGUAGUCAUUU